GAAAGCAGAGCCUCCAUUGCCGUUUUGUCUUUUCCACUAGCUUUUCCACCGCCAUCAUCAUCAUCCCCAACAAUAGUAGUUAUCCGCCUCAGGUCAUUAAUCCUGUUAUGGAUCUCCUUGAUUCCUUUUUUUAGUGAGCCAAGCCAGAUCACCUAGUGCCUCGAGGCUCAGAUCUUUCAAAUCCUUAUUAGCUGCAAGACAAUCAUACAUGAGUUUGGUGGUCUCCGAUACUUGAUUCUCCCUCACUUGUGACUUCAAUUUUUCCUUUUAACUUUCCAAUCCUUUGCUUGAGGAACUCCUUUUGGUUCAUCAUCUUCUUUGCUUGUUCCAUCUCAGACAAGUUCUUGAAUCUAGUGAGCAUCUGAAGGAGAUGGUGGCCAAAUGUCUGGAUUUGGAUCACAAGGACCGUAGAUGAUGGCCACCGCAUUCACCCCACAUAGGGUGCUCAGUUCACUCACCUUCUUCAGUACGCCCUUCUUUCUUUUCCUGAAGGUGGUUCUCCUUGUUCCUUCGUCAGCGAUAAAUUCGACAUAUAUAGCGUUACUCCGGUGCAACUGCCUACAGAUAGGGCAAGGGAGAUCUCGCCCUCGCUGCCUCUGCAAUCGUCGGCGGACGCUGCAAUGGCCCUCCCACCAAGAAGAAUUCUCAGGAAGAAGAAAGGAUGUUGUUGCGAAACAACUGGUUGGAAGAUAAAGCAAAUAUUUGAUAUGGCUUAUGAUGAGGCAGAGGAUUCAAAUAUACUUCAUUUUCAUCUAAGAGAUAUGGGUUGAGUGGUGUGGAGGUUUUAAUGAUGGAUGACAAGGAAUUGAAUCAGUAUAUUUCUUCGAAAAAGCUUGUUCCUUACCAAGAAAGGGAAUGGAAAAGUAAAGAGAUAUGAACAGAAAAUGAAGAAUAAGUUGCUUCUUCAAGUAGAAAAUUUGAAUGAGCAGAAGGCUGGAAAGAAGCAUAGGCCAAAGGCUGGUCAUCUCACAGCAAAAACCAGCAUCAGGCUCUAAGGAGAAAGUGGAAGCAGAGAAAUUCAAUGGUGAAGUGGGUGCAUCCCAGGGAAGCAGGACAAGCAGGUAGCUAGCUAUGCCUUGUAAUGGUCUGGUGGUAUCAACUGCGGUAUCGUUGAUGUUUGUCUGCAAUGGAUUCUUCAUAUGCUUUAAGCUAUGUAUCAGAGGCUUGAAUACAUGGCCAUGGAGAUGGAUGGUCAUUGAGGAAGCUAGGGGUGAUCAUACAGUAAUGUAACUUGAAAUUAGGUUUGAAACUGAACAUAGAAAAGAGCAAGGAGAGUCUUUCAUUUGUAUCCAAACUUGUCUCCACUAGCUAUGUGACUUAGGUGGGUCCAUUUUAUAGAGGACUACACCUCUAUCUCAUUGAUCAAGGUUCAAGCUAAACAAUUUGAUCCUUGAUUCUUUUGAGUAGUACUCCUGGAGUCUCUCAAUUUGCAAAAUCCCAAAACUAAUUCUGAAUAUAGUUGCUAAUGGUAUUAGGUUGCUGCUGAACAAUUUCAAGGGAGCUUUGAUUCUUUCCAAAAAAAUGUCUGUGAACUUGUUUGUCUCUAUACUUCUCUUUGUUCAAUGGCUUAUUUAUGUUCAAUUUUAUCAGAAAUUUUGUUUUGGGGGACCUUUGACUAUUGGUGUGGUGGGGAUCAGUUUUGCUUGGGGAGGAGAAGCUGCUGGAGAGAACUUGAAGAAUAAGAUUUUGAGUUGAGUUUGUCAAUGAGAAAUAGUGGGGUUCUUUCUAGCCCAUUGGUUGGGCCUGGAAUGAGAAUUUUGAUGCUUAUUGGUGAGUAGUGCUGUUUGUCUCUAGAUCAGAGCCUUAUGUGAGUUUCAGAAUCUACCACAUCACUUGAUGAACUUGCAGGAGUUUUGUGUUUGUAAUGGGAUGAGGACUACCAUAGACCAGAACUCUGGUUGAUUGGUUGUGUCAAUUGUGAUGGUUGAUCAUGCUUUCUAUCAUAUGUUGGCCCUUUACUUUCUAGCACACUACUUCUAAAUAGACUCUUUCACCAGUUGCUGCCAUUUCUUUGAAAAUGAUCUUGCAACUAUAAUUAAGAAUUUAGACAUUUAUUAUUCUGCUUAAGUAGUUCCUCAUGAAGCUGUUUUUGUCUAUUGCUCCUGUAACUGAAAGGAUAUCCAGGAUUUAAUCUCAUUUCUCUUCUGUUGCGCUCUGGAAGCAAUAUUCUCAAGAGAUUAGAAGCAGCAAAUGGUUUCUGUAAUGCCACAUGAGGCUAGUAGAAAAGGGGAAAAAAAAAAAGAGAAAUCUGGUGCACGAGUCUCCCACUAUUGCAGGAUAUGGGAGGAGCAAAUGUACACAACCUUACCCCCUACUUAAUAAGAAGCUGUUUCCAAGCAUGGAUGUAAAUGGAUCAGACACGGAUCAAAUUCGAAUCGGAUGUGUUCAGAUCUGGAUAUUUCUUGAUCGGAUUCGGAUACCCCUAAAUGAAUAUGGAUGCAAAUUGAAUUCGGAUUUUCAACUAUUCGUUUA